rnacentral:rRNA from 1 species
UUGCUCUUAUACUUAGUGGCGGACGGGUGAGUAACACGUGGGAACAUGUCCUGUAGUGGUGGAUAGCUCCGGGAAACUGGAGGUAAUACAGCAUAAGCUCGAGAGAGGAAAGAGAAGAUCGCUAUACGGGGUGGCCCGCGGCUGAUUAGGUAGUUGGUGGGGUAAAGGCCUACCAAGCCGAGGAUCAGUAGCUGGUCUGAGAGGAUGGACAGCCACACUGAAACUGAGACACGGUUCAGACUCCUACGGGAGGCAGCAGUGGGGAAUAUUGGACAAUGGGGGCAACCCUGAUCCAGCCGAUGCCGCGUGAGUGAAGAAGGUCUUAGGAUUGUAAAGCUCUUUUGACAGGGAAGAUGGUGACGGUACCUGUAGAAUAAGCACCGGCUAACUCUGUGCCAGCCGCUGC